GACGAACGCUGGCGGCGUGCUUAACACAUGCAAGUCGAACGAAGAGCGAUGGAAGCUUGCUUCUAUCAAUCUUAGUGGCGAACGGGUGAGUAACGCGUAAUCAACCUGCCCUUCAGAGGGGGACAACAGUUGGAAACGACUGCUCAUACCGCAUACGAUCUAAUCUCGGCAUCGAGGAUAGAUGAACGGUGGCCUCUACAUGUAAGCUAUCACUGCAGGAGGGGAUUGCGUCUGAUUAGCUAGUUGGCGGGGUAGCGGCGCACCAAGGCGAUGAUCAGUAGGAGGCAGGGGAGGGUGAACGGACACAGUGGGACUGCGAGAGGGGCCAGAAUGGUAAGGGAGGGAGCAGUGGGGAAUAGGGCACAAUGGGCGGAAGCGGGAUGCAGCAAUGCAGAGUGCGGGAAGACGGACUGCGGGUUGGAAACCGCUUGCGACUGGGAAGAAGCGUGAGGGACGGUAAUGGGUAAAGAAGCACCGGCUAACUACGUG
rnacentral:rRNA from 1 species